GGAAUAUUGCGCAAUGGGGGCAACCCUGACGCAGCGACGCCGCGUGGAUGAUGAAGGCCUUCGGGUCGUAAAAUCCUGUCAGAUGGAAAGAAAUGUCACAUGCCUAAUAUGUGUGUGAUUUGACGGUACAAUCAAAGGACGCACCGGCUAACUCCCUGCCAGCAGCCGCCGUAAUACGGAGGGUGCAAGCGUUGUUCGGAAUUACUGGGCGUAAAGCGCGCGUAGGCGGCCUUUUAAGUCAGAUGUGAAAGUCCACGGCUCAACCGUGGAAGUGCAUUUGAUACUGGGAGGCUUGAGUACUGGAGGGGAUGGUGGAAUUCCCGGUGUAGAGGUGAAAUUCGUAGAUAUCGGGAGGAAUACCGGUGGCGAAGGCGACCAUCUGGCCAGAUACUGACGCUGAGGUGCGAAAGCGUGGGGAGCAAAC
rnacentral:rRNA from 1 species